UUUGAUCCAGGCUCAGGACGAACGCUGGCGGCGUGCCUAAUACAUGCAAGUCGUACGCUUCUUUUUCCACCGGAGCUUGCUCCACCGGAAAAAGAAGAGUGGCGAACGGGUGAGUAACACGUGGGUAACCUGCCCAUCAGAAGGGGAUAACACUUGGAAACAGGUGCUAAUACCGUAUAACAAUCGAAACCGCAUGGUUUUGAUUUGAAAGGCGCUUUCGGGUGUCGCUGAUGGAUGGACCCGCGGUGCAUUAGCUAGUUGGUGAGGUAACGGCUCACCAAGGCCACGAUGCAUAGCCGACCUGAGAGGGUGAUCGGCCACAUUGGGACUGAGACACGGCCCAAACUCCUACGGGAGGCAGCAGUAGGGAAUCUUCGGCAAUGGACGAAAGUCUGACCGAGCAACGCCGCGUGAGUGAAGAAGGUUUUCGGAUCGUAAAACUCUGUUGUUAGAGAAGAACAAGGAUGAGAGUAACUGUUCAUCCCUUGACGGUAUCUAACCAGAAAGCCACGGCUAACUACGUGCCAGCAGCCGCGGUAAUACGUAGGUGGCAAGCGUUGUCCGGAUUUAUUGGGCGUAAAGCGAGCGCAGGCGGUUUCUUAAGUCUGAUGUGAAAGCCCCCGGCUCAACCGGGGAGGGUCAUUGGAAACUGGGAGACUUGAGUGCAGAAGAGGAGAGUGGAAUUCCAUGUGUAGCGGUGAAAUGCGUAGAUAUAUGGAGGAACACCAGUGGCGAAGGCGGCUCUCUGGUCUGUAACUGACGCUGAGGCUCGAAAGCGUGGGGAGCAAACAGGAUUAGAUACCCUGGUAGUCCACGCCGUAAACGAUGAGUGCUAAGUGUUGGAGGGUUUCCGCCCUUCAGUGCUGCAGCUAACGCAUUAAGCACUCCGCCUGGGGAGUACGACCGCAAGGUUGAAACUCAAAGGAAUUGACGGGGGCCCGCACAAGCGGUGGAGCAUGUGGUUUAAUUCGAAGCAACGCGAAGAACCUUACCAGGUCUUGACAUCCUUUGACCACUCUAGAGAUAGAGCUUCCCCUUCGGGGGCAAAGUGACAGGUGGUGCAUGGUUGUCGUCAGCUCGUGUCGUGAGAUGUUGGGUUAAGUCCCGCAACGAGCGCAACCCUUAUUGUUAGUUGCCAUCAUUUAGUUGGGCACUCUAGCAAGACUGCCGGUGACAAACCGGAGGAAGGUGGGGAUGACGUCAAAUCAUCAUGCCCCUUAUGACCUGGGCUACACACGUGCUACAAUGGGAAGUACAACGAGUCGCGAAGUCGCGAGGCUAAGCUAAUCUCUUAAAGCUUCUCUCAGUUCGGAUUGUAGGCUGCAACUCGCCUACAUGAAGCCGGAAUCGCUAGUAAUCGCGGAUCAGCACGCCGCGGUGAAUACGUUCCCGGGCCUUGUACACACCGCCCGUCACACCACGAGAGUUUGUAACACCCGAAGUCGGUGAGGUAACCUUUUGGAGCCAGCCGCCUAAGGUGGGAUAGAUGAUUGGGGUGAAGUCGUA
rnacentral:rRNA from 1 species